AUUGAACGCUGGCGGCAGGCUUAACACAUGCAAGUCGAGCGGGGUGAUGGUGCUUGCACUAUCACUUAGCGGCGGACGGGUGAGUAAUGCUUAGGAAUCUGCCUAUUAGUGGGGGACAACAUCUCGAAAGGGAUGCUAAUACCGCAUACGUCCUACGGGAGAAAGCAGGGGAUCACUUGUGACCUUGCGCUAAUAGAUGAGCCUAAGUCGGAUUAGCUAGUUGGUGGGGUAAAGGCCUACCAAGGCGACGAUCUGUAGCGGGUCUGAGAGGAUGAUCCGCCACACUGGGACUGAGACACGGCCCAGACUCCUACGGGAGGCAGCAGUGGGGAAUAUUGGACAAUGGGGGGAACGCUGAUCCAGCCAUGCCGCGUGUGUGAAGAAGGCCUUAUGGUUGUAAAGCACUUUAAGCGAGGAGGAGGCUCUUUUGGUUAAUACCCAAGAUGAGUGGACGUUACUCGCAGAAUAAGCACCGGCUAACUCUGUGCCAGCAGCCGCUGUAA
rnacentral:rRNA from 1 species